UACGUAGGGUGCGAGCGUUAAUCGGAAUUACUGGGCGUAAAGCGUGCGCAGGCGGUUGUGCAAGACAGAUGUGAAAUCCCCGGGCUCAACCUGGGAACUGCAUUUGUGACUGCAUCGCUGGAGUACGGCAGAGGGGGAUGGAAUUCCGCGUGUAGCAGUGAAAUGCGUAGAUAUGCGGAGGAACACCGAUGGCGAAGGCAAUCCCCUGGGCCUGUACUGACGCUCAUGCACGAAAGCGUGGGGAGCAAACAGG
rnacentral:rRNA from 1 species